rnacentral:rRNA from 1 species
UACGUAGGGGGGCUAGCGUUGUCCGGAAUCAUUGGGCGUAAAGAGCGUGUAGGCGGCUCGGUAAGUCCGCUCUGAAAGCCCGGGGGCUCAACCCCGGGAGGCGGGCGGAUACUGUCGGGCUAGAGUCCGGAAGAGGCGAGUGGAAUUCCUGGUGUAGCGGUGAAAUGCGCAGAUAUCGGGAGGAACACCAGUAGCGAAGGCGGCACUCUGGGCCGGUACUGACGCUGGAGGAGCGAAAGCGUGGGGAGCGAACAGG